rnacentral:lncRNA from 1 species
GUAACACUGCUUGGAUCUAGCCCAUGUGUCUCCACAAUGUUGCGAGCUGCAGGACUUAAGCGAAACUGCAGUUUUCCAGGUUGAUGCUCCACUUUAGGAGGGGCAGAAACUGAAGGACCUGCAGGAGUUGAGGUAACAGCAGCUGCAGGUGGUGCCAGAGAAGAUUGAUCAUUAGCAUCAGCUGGUAUUUCAACCUGUUUCCAGUCCUGUCCUUCUUCUACCAGCAGACCAAUUAG